rnacentral:rRNA from 1 species
AUUCCAGCUCCAAUAGCGUAUAUUAAAGUUGUUGCAGUUAAAAAGCUCGUAGUUGAAUUUCUGGUCGUGGCGAUCGGUCCGCCCCUCACGGGGUGUGCACCUGGUCUCUACGUCCAUCCUCGGGGAGAGCGCGUCUGGCAUUCAGUUGUCGGGCGCGGGAUCCUCGUCAUUUACUGUGAGCAAAAUAGAGUGUUCAAAGCAGGCUUAGGCCGUUGAAUACAUUAGCAUGGAAUAAUAAGAUAGGACCUUGGUCUAUUUUGUUGGUUUGCAUUCCAAGGUAAUGAUUAAUAGGGAUAGUUGGGGGUAUUCGUAUUCAAUUGUCAGAGGUGAAAUUCUUGGAUUUAUGGAAGACGAACUACUGCGAAAGCAUUUACCAAGGAUGUUUUCAUCA